GCGGACUGGAAAUUCCCAGGUUUCAUCUCCAAGUGUGAAGUUAGUCCCAUCCUCCAGGAGGCAAGGGCUGCCUGACCCUUCUGUGAGAUCAGACGAGACGCCUGUCAGGCUGACUCACUGCUGGCUCCUUUCCCAGGCCCUGGUCCCACAGCUGAUGUCCUCACCACCUCCACCACCUGGGGACACCUGUCCUGCAGCUGCGCUGUGGAUCCAAGCACAGGAAGGCCCCUCCUCGAGCCGUCAGGCAGCUCGGGCUCACAGCUUCGCCUCGGUGACUCUGAGGAGCUAGACUGCUGACAGCCCCACUGUUGGGGCCGGGACCUGGCAGUACUCCAGGCCUGGCCUGGAGUGCCACCAAGAGUCCCCUUGGGCUGACCAGGGGCCCUUCACACAGGGAACUGGAGCCCCCCCUUGUUGGGAUCGUAGUUUAGGCUGUGGGCAAGGGAGCCCCAGGUGAACCCCACUGAGGGAGCAAACAGCUGCAGACAGUCGGGGAGCGGAGUACUGAACACACAGGGCCAGCACCCCAAAGCCGGCCCCUGAGGGUAGGGUAGACCUGGGCGAGAACGGUAUUGGGAAACUGAGGCGGGGCAGCAUGAGUUGGCAUCUUCUGUGUGGUAGAGGGUCUGCGUGGCAUGCAUGACGCUCAGCCAAGGGAGAUGGGAACUGAAGAGUGGCCACUGGGCAAGGGACAAGGGGUCUGUGGCCUCUAUGGAGCCAGGAGUGUGAAGAUGAGGCCCUGCUGAGGGGAGGACAGGCAGGCCCUGAGGGGCACUGAGGCUCCUCGCCAGGCCCACCAGAGGCUCGGAGGCGGUCUCUGCUGUCCAGUAGGCGCGGCCGGGCUGAAGUUGGAGCUGGGACGCCAGCAGGUGAGAGCCAGGGCGACAAGCUGGGGUGUGACGUUGGGGCCUUUGUUCCAGGUCAGCACACAACCCACGCUCCUCGCACACAGCGCCUCACGUCCGUAGUAACGGCCGUGUGACUUCAGUAGUGAAAACCACAGACAGCUGAGACAGCCGUCCAGGGCCCAGGCGAGGUUCUCCCUCUGCUCCCUGGAGACCUUCUCUCCACCGAGCCUCUCGCACCUGACAUCUGCCCACCUCCAAGGCCAAGGUAGAGUAAGGGCAGCGGCCUUGGUGUAGCUGGGAAGCCAGAGACCCUGUGUGUGUAGCCCAGACCUGCUGUCCCUGGGACCCCCCCAGGGGCACACCCCAACCCCAGCGCAUCAAGACUGCACCCGCUGUCGCCCAGGUAUCACCAAGCAGGACCCUCAGGGAACCCUGGUCCUGACCACCUCUCUCCCACUGGGCAGGUGAGCAUCAGGACUUCAUGUCCCAGGGCACUGCCAGCCCUCACCCCAAGCCACCCCAAAGUUCAGGAAGGAGGAGGAAAGACACAGGACUUGGCCUCAGGGACAUCUGCUAAGGCAGGUUCCCAUCACAGGAAGGACCUGUGCCCACCAGGGAAGACAGGCGGGGGCCCCAAUGGGACCAAUAUGGGCCUCCUGGAACUCCAGGCACCUGUGGGCACUGACCUCAGGGCCCCACGACCGGCUGUGCUGACUCGGGGGCCAGGCAGCUGAGCGUGGCUGUGAAGGGCUCAAGUUGUUCCCCUUGUUUGUGGCCUGGCUGCUCACCUGGGCCAGCUGCUCCUCCACUGCUCCAGCUGAUGCUGCUUCUUCUCUGGGAAACUGGCAGAAGGAGAGGCCUCGGUGCCAGGCUGGGCCAGCAGCAGAGGAGACCGCACCUGCGGCUGCCAGCUCUGCUGCAGCCUGCUUUCCCACACACACCUGCCGUCCUCCCAGUCACAGGCCAGGUGCGAGGGGAGCGGUCGAGUCAGGUCAAAGAGCAGACCCCAGCUCCACACCAGACCUGAGCACCUGCUGCCUGAGCCGCCAGGAGCCUGCCGGGGAGGAAGGGCAGCCCAGGCUGCUGCAGGAAGGGGGAGGUGAGGGAGCCCGAGGGCCGAGGGAGGAGAGGAGGCAGACACCGGCCACAACUUCUGAGAAGGCGCUCAGCCCUACUCCUGCCUCUUUGAAGAAAAGCAGAUUGGAAAAAUAGAGAGGUCCUUUCACCUUGGCCACCUCUGCAAGCUGCCAGCAGGCACCAGCCCACCCUCGGCACCCUGCCACAGACACCUGCACGCGUGUGGCCAGGCGGGCCGUCCUGAGCUGGCCAGCGCAGGCACUGUGGCCAGCCUGAGCUACACCACCGCACUGAUGGACUGCCACUCAAGCCUCGCACACACCCGGGCAGGGCACUUCUGGGAGAGUCACAAGGGUACUGAGUUCAGGGCUGUGACGGCCACACUUCUCACCAGGGCUGUGGUCUAACUGUGACGUCUGCUCCACAGACACCAUGGUCAAGGAUCCCUCUGGACGCUUGUCACCCAGAGGAAACACAGAGGGCAAGGGGAUGCCAUCGACAGCUGGACACCCUCAAGCCAGGCAGCGAUGACUGUGGGAAGCUGGAACCCCAGGCCCUGCGUCCUCAGAGGCCACGCGCUCUGGCCGUGGUCCACCGCUGCCCUGGCUGGAGCCAGCAGGUGGGGCCCCAACCCCACCUCCCGCUGCAGGUCCACCUGGGGGUGCGCAGUUUUAGCCUUGGACGGGAGCCUCCCACCCCAGGGAGGCGGUGUGGCUGCCAGACACAGCAGUGGGGAACCCAGCGGGGCAGGUGGGCGGGCACGUAGGGACCCGGGGUCUCACCUGCCCGUCACUGGGGCCAGCUUCCUGACUCCAUUUCUCAGCAAAAAUGCUUUUGUCCCUCUUGUGUCCAGCAGGAGGGUCAGAGGAAGGCUGGUUCUGGGUGAGAAAGGGGGACACCUGGGAAGGGCAGCUGGCAUCAUUGAACAUGGACACGGAUUUCAUAACAAGGAAGGAAAAGGGCCCCACGGUGCUCUGGGUCCCGCGUCACACCUGCCGGGCCCCGGAGGUUGUGCGCCGCGCCUGCUGCCUCUGGUCCUGGCCAGCACCUUCUCUUCCCUGCCUUUGCUCUGUGUCCUCUGAGUGAUGAGUCUCAGCCACAGGACACUGUGCACUGAGCCCUGGGACCUAGUGAACCAGGGAUCCUGGGGUGGUCUCAGGGACCCCAACAGAACUAGCAAUGAAUGACCCAAAAAGGAAACAGAAGAGACAGUUGUAUCUACAACUGCACGAGAAAAUAAGACACUUCAGGAUAAAGUGACCUUAAAAAAAGGGCAAAACUAAAAAAAAAAAAAAAGAGAGAGAGAGAGAACUUUGCUAGAAGAAAUCAAAGAAGUCUUAGGUCACAAAGGACCUUGUAUGCAGGCCACCCAGCAGGACGGCUCACUCCUCAGCUGCCCGGCAGACCCAACCUUGGCCCUCUGCAGAAACUGAUCAGCAGAUCCCAAAAUUCACGUGGAGUUUCAAGGAACCCCGAAGAGCCAAAACAAUCCAUGAAGAGAAACAUGAGUCAGAGGACUCCCCUGCUAACCUCCUGACCUCCCCAAUCCCAUGCUCUGACCUCCUGACCUCCACACGGGGCAAUCAGGUGCUGGGAGCCAUUAGCCAAGUAAGUAUGACAAUUUCCUUGCCAGCGUACCCCAUGUUGCAGUGACAUUGAAUGUACUUAACCUUGCUCAAGGACCAAGGCAGAUUAGGGUGUUCCCGGUUUUAAGAUAAUCUUGUUUAGGGCGUUCCCAGUUUAGGUUCCAGGUUUAAGGUUUAAGAUUAUUCCUGCUGGGAAUAGGGCGUAUCCUGCUGCCUGAGUUCCCCUUGAGUUCUCACGGGAUUCAGACAGUAUAUUUUGGAGAUAGAAGCCCAGUGGAGGUGAAUUUGGGAGAGAAGGUGGAUUUGGGCAGAGAACGUGGAUUUGGGAAGAGAACGUGGAUUUCCCCAGAACGUGAUUGUAGACGGCUGGUGUGAGUUCGGGAAUAAAGAGUUGCUGUUUGAAUCUACAAGCUGUGUGGUGGCUCGUGAUUGUGUGCCCAGCCAGACUGCGGCAUUUGUGCCCAGCCAGACUGUGGCAAUCAGGACCUAGGGUGCCGGUUCAGAACACCCAGAACCAAGGCCCGGAAUUGAGCCACAGGUGUGCAGUCAGCCAACUUCCAACGAGGACACCAGGGCCACUCAGCAAGGCCUGGACAGUCUCUUGGCAGAACCUGCUAUCCUGUGCUGUCCUGCUCGGUGAGGCUGGACCAGGUCACAGUAGACACAGCAGCCAGGGAGGGGACCUGCACUAACCACUGGGAGCCCUUGUAGGAGGAGGCUUAGGAACCAGGCCCGCAGCCUCAGUUAGGCACAGCCUUCUUAGACAGGACCCUGACAGAACCCGUGACGGGCCAGGCACAGUGGUACAGCCCUAAUCUCAAUAGCUUGAGAGGCUGAGGCAGGAUGGUCAAGACCAGCCUGGGAAAACCAGCAAGACCCCGUCUCAAAAAGAAAGAAAAAAGUCUGGGGUGUAGCCCGGGGGCGCCUGCCUGGCACCCCAAGGUGUGAUCCCUAGCACUGAGAGAAAAAAGGGCCAAGUGGGUCACUGAAGUGCAGACUGCCGAGUGUCGGAGGGUCACCUGGGAAGGGAAGGACACCCAAGGAGCGGGAGGAAACGUGCCCAAGUCUGAUGGAGGACUGAGCCAAGGACAGGCAGGGAGCUCUUACGCCCCGACAGAAGACGACCCAUGGCCGCAGGCCCCUGAGAAGACGCGCACAGCAGGUCAUCAGGCACACCAGCAAAGCCACCAAGAGAAGCCACCUCACACCCAUCAGGCAUCGGAACAGGAACGUGGCUGGGACGUGGGCGGGACCCUCCCAAGGCACCAAGGAACCAG
rnacentral:lncRNA from 1 species